AGGCCGUCUAGCUCACAACUCAUACUUGGUCUUACAAACAAUAUCAGAAUCUCACAUGUACACCACCAGAUUCUUUCACACACAGUAUCAUACCGUCUUUAACGUACUGUCAUUCCUUCCUUCAUUUACUAUCAUACUAUCAUACAUAAAUAACUAUUCUCUCUCACACACAAAAACAAAAUCUAUUAAACGCACCAUCAUACUCUCGUACACACACCACUAUCGUCUUUCACAAACAACUAUAAUCUAAUAGAACAUUAUAAUAGUGUAUGUGAAAGAGGAUAGUAGUAUGUGUGUAAUCGGUACACAAUGUAUGUAAAACAGAAUAAUAACCUAUAUAAGAGGGAAUAG